GACGAACGCUGGCGGCGUGCCUAACACAUGCAAGUCGAGCGAUUCAGAAGUCGGAUAUCAAUCUGACCUCUGGAUAGCGGCGGACGGGUGAGUAACACGUGGGUACUCUGCCCUACGGACCGGGAUAACACACCGAAAGGGGAGCUAAUACCGGAUAAAGUCAUCAUAUGGCAUCAUAAGAUGAAGAAAGGAGAAAUCCGACCAAAGGAGGAGCCCGCGUCCCAUUAGUUAGUUGGCGGGGUAAAGCCCACCAAGGCGACGAUGGGUAGCCGGCCUGAGAGGGUGAACGGCCACACUGGAACUGAGACACGGUCCAGACUCCUACGGGAGGCAGCAUG
rnacentral:rRNA from 1 species